rnacentral:misc_RNA from 1 species
UCCGGCUUCCCGCCGGCAGUCUCCCUGGUAGUCCUAGCCGUAAACGAUGAACACUAGGUGUGGGGGGAGCCGAAUCCCUCUGUGCCGCAGCCAACGCGAUAAGUGUUCCGCCUGGGGAGUGCGGCCGCAAGGCUAAAACUCAAAAGAAUUGACGGGGGCCCGCACAAGCAGCGGAGCAUGUUCUUUAAUUCGAUGCAACGCGAAGAACCUUACCUGGGCUUGACAUGGUGCUGCAAGCGCACGGAAACGUGUGACCUUCGAGGGUGCACCACAGAUGCUGCAUGGCUGUCGUCAGCUCGUGUCGUGAGAUGUUGGGUUAAGUCCCGCAACGAGCGCAACCCCCGUGGUGUGUUGCCAGCAUUAAGUUGGGGACUCACACCAGACUGCCGGUGACAAACCG